CCCGUGUCGGUAAGGGUGGAAAGGCGAGGUAAGAGCUCACCGCUGUACUGGUAACAGGACAGGCUCUGUAAACCCCAUCCGAAGCAAGACCGCAAAGGGACAUAAGGCUGCCCGUCUGUUCCAGGUAGGUCGCUUGAGGCCUGUGGCAACACAGGUCCUGGAUAGAUGGCCAUGCAACGACAUAACCCGGCUUAUCGAUCUACCUCUUUU
rnacentral:RNase_P_RNA from 1 species